UGGGGAAUCUUGCGCAAUGGGCGAAAGCCUGACGCAGCAACGCCGCGUGUGUGAUGAAGGUCUUCGGAUCGUAAAGCACUGUCGCGAGGGACGAAUAAGGGGCGGGUUAACAUCCCGUUCCGAUGACGGUACCUCGAGAGGAAGCACCGGCUAACUCUGUGCCAGCAGCCGCGGUAAUACAGAGGGUGCAAGCGUUGUUCGGAAUUAUUGGGCGUAAAGCGCGUGUAGGCGGCCUUGCAAGUUGGGUGUGAAAGCCCUCGGCUUAACCGAGGAAGUGCGCCCAAAACUACAUGGCUUGAGUGCCGGAGAGGGUGGCGGAAUUCCCGGUGUAGAGGUGAAAUUCGUAGAUAUCGGGAGGAACACCAGUGGCGAAGGCGGCCACCUGGACGGUAACUGACGCUGAGACGCGAAAGCGUGGGGAGCAAACAGG
rnacentral:rRNA from 1 species